GAAGGUCAGGCUGAAGACCUUACCCGAUUAGCUGAGAGGUGGUGCAUGGCCGUCGUCAGUUCGUACUGUGAAGCAUCCUGUUAAGUCAGGCAACGAGCGAGACCCACGUCCACAGUUGCCAGCAUACCCUCCGGGGUGAUGGGUACACUGUGGAGACCGCCGCUGCUAAAGCGGAGGAAGGAGUGGGCAACGGUAGGUCAGUAUGCCCUGAAUCUCCCGGGCUACACGCGGGCUACAAUGGUUGGUACAAUGGGCAUCUACCCCGAAAGGGGAAGGAAAUCUCUUAAAGCCAAUCGUAGUUCGGAUUGAGGGCUGCAACUCGCCCUCAUGAAGCUGGAAUCCGUAGUAAUCGCGUUUCAACAGAACGCGGUGAAUACGUCCCUGCUCCUU
rnacentral:rRNA from 1 species